rnacentral:rRNA from 1 species
ACCAGACUCCUACGGGAGGCAGCAGUGGGGAAUAUUGCACAAUGGGGGAAACCCUGAUGCAGCGACGCCGCGUGAGCGAUGAAGUAUUUCGGUAUGUAAAGCUCUAUCAGCAGGGAAGAAGAUGACGGUACCUGACUAAGAAGCCCCGGCUAACUACGUGCCAGCAGCCGCGGUAAUACGUAGGGGGCAAGCGUUAUCCGGAUUUACUGGGUGUAAAGGGGGCGCAGACGGCGAUGCAAGCCAGGAGUGAAAGCCCGGGGCCCAACCCCGGGACUGCUCUUGGAACUGCGUGGCUGGAGUGCAGGAGGGGCAGGCGGAAUUCCUUGUGUAGCGGUGAAAUGCGUAGAUAUAAGGAAGAACACCAGUGGCGAAGGCGGAUUACUGGACGAUAACUGACGGUGAGGCGCGAAAGCGUGGGGAGCAAACAGGAUUAGAUACCCGUGUAAC